rnacentral:rRNA from 1 species
AGAGUUUGAUUCUGGCUCAGGAUUAACGCUAGCGGCAGGCCUAAUACAUGCAAGUCGAACGGGAUUCAAGGUAGCAAUAUUUUGAUGAGAGUGGCGCACGGGUGAGUAACACGUAUGCAAUUUGCCUUUAACUGGGGAAUAGCCCUCCGAAAGGAGGAUUAAUACCGCAUAACAUUUCAGAAUGGCAUCAUUUUGAAAUUAAACCUCCGGGGGUUAAAGAUAAGCAUGCAUCCGAUUAGGUAGUUGGUGUGGUAACGGCACACCAAGCCAACGAUCGGUAGGGGGUCUGAGAGGAUGAUCCCCCACACUGGUACUGAGACACGGACCAGACUCCUACGGGAGGCAGCAGUAAGGAAUAUUGGACAAUGGAGGCAACUCUGAUCCAGCCAUGCCGCGUGAAGGAAUAAGGCCCUAUGGGUUGUAAACUUCUUUUAGACGGGACAAAACCCCUUUACGUGUAAAGGGUUGAUGGUACUGUCAGAAUAAGCAUCGGCUAACUUCGUGCCAGCAGCCGCGGUAAUACGAAGGAUGCAAGCGUUAUCCGGAAUUAUUGGGUUUAAAGGGUGCGUAGGCGGACUGAUAAGUCAGUGGUGAAAGCCUGCAGCUUAACUGCAGAAUUGCCGUUGAUACUGUCAGUCUUGAGUACAGUUGAGGUAGGCGGAAUGUGUCAUGUAGCGGUGAAAUGCUUAGAUAUGACACAGAACACCGAUUGCGAAGGCAGCUUGCUAAGCUGUAACUGACGCUGAGGCACGAAAGCGUGGGGAGCAAACAGGACUAGAUACCCUGGUAGUCCACGCCCUAAACGAUGAUAACUCGCUGUUGGCGAUACACAGCCAGCGGCCAAGCGAAAGCAUUAAGUUAUCCACCUGGGGAGUACGACCGCAAGGUUGAAACUCAAAGGAAUUGACGG